UGGGGAAUUUUGGACAAUGGGCGCAAGCCUGAUCCAGCCAUGCCGCGUGCGGGAAGAAGGCCUUCGGGUUGUAAACCGCUUUUGUCAGGGAAGAAAUCUUCUGAGUUAAUACCUCGGGAGGAUGACGGUACCUGAAGAAUAAGCACCGGCUAACUACGUGCCAGCAGCCGCGGUAAUACGUAGGGUGCAAGCGUUAAUCGGAAUACUGGGCGUAAAGCGUGCGCAGGCGGUUUUGUAAGACAGAGGUGAAAUCCCCGGGCUCAACCUGGGAACUGCCUUUGUGACUGCAAGGCUUGAGUGCGGCAGAGGGGGAUGGAAUUCCGCGUGUAGCAGUGAAAUGCGUAGAUAUGCGGAGGAACACCGAUGGCGAAGGCAAUCCCCUGGGCCUGCACUGACGCUCAUGCACGAAAGCGUGGGGAGCAAACAGGAUUAGAUACCCUGGUAGUCCACGCCCUAAACGAUGUCAACUGGUUGUUGGGAAGGUUCCUUCUCAGUAACGUAGCUAACGCGUGAAGUUGACCGCCUGGGGAGUACGGCCGCAA
rnacentral:rRNA from 1 species